GAAGGAAAAAUAAAAAUUACAAAGGGCUUUGAUAACCCUAAAAGCUUAUACUCCUUUCGCAAUGACUUGGCCUCUCAUUUUCCAAAAUGAAAACAACUGGAGAAGCUUUUCGAGGGUUUGAGACCCUUUGGUGCUGCCAUUGCUGUUCUAAUUUCCGUCGCUUUGUGAAGUCUUUGAUGAAGAAUAUAUGUUUUUUACUGGUGCUACUGCCCAAGAUAAAUUUGAUUGCAGUUUUCAAACAACCCAGGUUGCGACUGUGCAUUAAAAGUUAGACUUUUUCUUGAAGGCAUGCUGAAGUUUUCUGAAUCUUCUCUUAAAUGCAAGUCCCAUUUUCCAUAGGAAAGCAGGGUUUGUUCAGAAUUCGAAGACCGAGAAAACAGUCAUAAGGGCAACGGGACAGCCAAUAACCAGUCAAAGCAACCCAAGGCAAUGACUGGUUAUCCUUACACUCACUAUUUAAUUCUAUCCUUUUCUGUUUUGGAUAUGUAGGAAAGAUAGAAAUGCUAAGCUCACGGCUUGUGUGAGGUUUUAAGGAAUUCAGUGCAUGUAUAAAUAUGCUUCAAAUGCAUGAACUCAAUUUGUAAUCUAUCAUUGUUCAAUACAAAUGAAAAUACCCUUUUUUUUUUAAA